CUCUCCUCCCCCAAUCCACCCCUCCCCUUCAAAGUCUUCCCCACUAAAUUCGUCGGCAGCUCUUCACCGUCGGCGGCGGCGGCUCCUCGUCACCGACUCCUCCCCUUCAAACUCUGCCCCCAUCUCUCUCGCUCUCUCUUUCUAAGCGUGUGGAUCACUCUCAGCUCCUCAGGUCCAUGGUCUCCACUGAAUUCCGAGACUCCAACCUUGGUGAAGCCAUUGAAGUUGCCAAUCAAACGGCCUCUAGUUCUUGAGGAGCAGUGAUUAGUAGAAUCUGCAGCAGCACCCGCAUCAAGAUGUGGCGUUGUGUUCAUGGCCUUCGAGCAUCGAGGAGCCUGAAAUCCAGCGUUUCCAGGCUCUUCUCCUCCACCUCGACUUCAGCAAGCUUCCCAUACACCAUAGUUGAUCAUACAUACGAUACAGUUGUUGUGGGAGCAGGAGGCGCUGGCCUGAGAGCAGCGAUUGGACUCUCUGAACAUGGAUUUAACACAGCCUGCAUCACCAAGCUCUUCCCAACUCGCUCACAUACAGUGGCCGCUCAGGGUGGUAUAAAUGCUGCGCUUGGAAACAUGACUGAAGAUGACUGGAGGUGGCACAUGUAUGAUACUGUAAAGGGGAGUGACUGGCUAGGUGAUCAAGAUGCAAUUCAGUACAUGUGUAGAGAGGCACCUAAAGCAGUGAUUGAGCUUGAAAAUUAUGGGCUACCAUUUUCUCGAACGGAAGAUGGAAAGAUUUAUCAACGUGCAUUUGGUGGUCAGAGCCUUAACUUCGGAAAAGGUGGACAAGCAUAUCGUUGUGCGUGCGCAGCAGACAGAACAGGACAUGCAUUGCUGCAUUCUCUUUAUGGUCAAGCUAUGAAGCAUAAUACACAAUUCUUUGUGGAGUACUUUGCGUUGGAGCUAUUGAUGAAUAGUGAUGGUAGCUGUCAAGGAGUAAUUGCACUGAACAUGGAGGAUGGCACUCUACAUCGAUUCCAUGCUGCUUCAACAAUUCUAGCAACUGGGGGUUAUGGCAGAGCAUACUUUUCUGCAACAUCAGCUCAUACAUGCACCGGGGAUGGCAAUGCAAUGGUUGCACGUGCUGGCCUGCCUCUUCAGGAUCUGGAGUUCGUCCAAUUUCAUCCAACAGGAAUAUAUGGUGCUGGGUGCCUCAUUACAGAAGGUUCUCGAGGUGAAGGUGGUAUUCUCAGGAACAGUGAAGGUGAGAGGUUCAUGGAACGUUAUGCCCCUACUGCCAAGGAUCUUGCCUCAAGAGAUGUUGUCUCAAGGUCCAUGACAAUGGAGAUACGGGAAGGUCGUGGUGUAGAAGGACCUCUGAAGGACCACAUAUAUCUUCAUUUGAAUCACUUGCCUCCGGACGUACUUAAGGAGCGGCUUCCUGGUAUCUCAGAAACUGCUGCUAUUUUUGCUGGCGUGGAUGUGACAAAAGAGCCUAUCCCAGUCCUACCAACUGUGCACUAUAAUAUGGGUGGAAUUCCAACGAAUUACCAUGGGGAGGUUGUUACCAUCAAAGGUAAUGAUCCAGAUGCAGUAGUUCCUGGACUGAUGGCUGCAGGAGAGGCAGCAUGUGCAUCUGUUCAUGGUGCUAACCGUCUCGGUGCAAAUUCCCUCCUUGACAUUGUUGUUUUCGGACGAGCUUGUGCUAAUAGGGUAGCGGAGAUUCACAGGCCAGGUGAGAAACAAAAGCCUCUGGAGAAGGAUGCUGGUGAGAAGACCAUCUCUUGGCUGGACAAGAUUAGGAAUUCCAAUGGCUCACUCCCAACUUCAAAGAUCCGACUAAAUAUGCAACGAGUGAUGCAAAACAAUGCUGCAGUUUUCCGUACACAAGAGACGUUAGAGGAAGGUUGUCAGUUAAUUGACAAGGCAUGGGAGAGUUUCCAUGAUGUUAAAUUGAAAGACCGGACUUUGAUAUGGAACUCUGACUUGAUUGAAACCUUGGAGCUGGAAAACCUUUUAAUUAACGCCAGCAUCACGAUGCACUCUGCUGAAGCAAGGAAAGAGAGCAGAGGAGCGCAUGCCCGUGAAGAUUUUACGACGAGGGAUGACGAAAACUGGAUGAAGCACUCAUUAGGAUACUGGGACAAUGAAAAGGUCCGGCUAGAUUACAGGCCUGUACAUAUGAACACAUUAGACGAUGAAGUCGAAUCGUUCCCUCCAAAAGCUCGUGUCUACUAGAUAUAUGAUUAGCAGAUGGAAUGAUGGUUGAUUUUUGUUCACAUGAAUGCAAUAUCUCAAGUCCUGCAAGGGUGUAAACGAUUGGACUGCAAUAAAUAGUUUCGCGUCUGGUAAAUAGUUUGUUGGUGAUUGAUUCUUGAGUGGCGGUUCGUUUCUAACCUUAGACCUGGCCUCUUGAUAUUCUUAAUGACGUCCCAUUUGGUUAAAGUAGGUUUUCCCGCCAAUGCACAGCUCGAUCACAACCCGAAUGUUUUGAUAUGUUGUUGUGACCAGGAAAACCAGAACAUUGUUCUGAUGUUAUGUUGUUUGGAAUAUUAAUAGGAAUUGAAGAUGAAGCCCUAUCAUUAUGGACAUU